rnacentral:rRNA from 1 species
AGUGAACGCUGGCGGUAGGCCUAACACAUGCAAGUCGAACGGCAGCACAGUAGGAGCUUGCUCUUACGGGUGGCGAGUGGCGGACGGGUGAGGAAUACAUCGGAAUCUACUUUUUCGUGGGGGAUAACGUAGGGAAACUUACGCUAAUACCGCGUACGACCUACGGGUGAAAGCAGGGGAUCUUCGGACCUUGCGCGAUUGAAUGAGCCGAUGUCGGAUUAGCUAGUUGGCGGGGUAAAGGCCCACCAAGGCGACGAUCCGUAGCUGGUCUGAGAGGAUGAUCAGCCACACUGGAACUGAGACACGGUCCAGACUCCUACGGGAGGCAGCAGUGGGGAAUAUUGGACAAUGGGCGCAAGCCUGAUCCAGCCAUACCGCGUGGGUGAAGAAGGCCUUCGGGUUGUAAAGCCCUUUUGUUGGGAAAGAAAAGCAGCAGGUUAAUACCCCGCUGUUCUGACGGUACCCAAAGAAUAAGCACCGGCUAACUUCGUG